CAGCUCUCCGAGUGGUAGGGAUGAUUAUUGGGCUUAAAGCGUCCGUAGCCUGCUUAGCAAGUCUCCUGUUAAAUUCAGCGACCUAAUCGUUGAGCCGCGGGAGAUACUACUAGGCUAGGAGGCGGGAGAGGUCGACGGUACUUCUGGGGUAGGGGUGAAAUCCUAUAAUCCCGGGAGGACCACCAGUGGCGAAGGCUGUCGACUAGAACGCGCUCGACGGUGAGGGACGAAAGCUGGGGGAGCGAACCGGAUUAGAUACCCGAGUAGUCC
rnacentral:rRNA from 1 species